rnacentral:sRNA from 1 species
AAAGGCCGGUUUCUACCCGAUGAUCUCUUGGGCCCCGUCCCGAGAGUGAGGCACGGCGCCACCAGGCACCCCCGAUAUGCAGCGUGUUGUGAAGUGCCCUUGUGAGCAGCGGGGGAUAGGGAACAGGAAACCAGCCGUCAGCGACGGCGAGGUGGUGCCCCAGAGAGGGCUGCCUCAUUCGCCUGGGUGCAGGUUCCGAGGUCGUCUUGGUAGCAUUUGGCAGGAAUUUAUUCAGGAAGCAUUCAGCAAACCGAGUGUGUGUGGUGCUGGGAGAUGACGAUGAAAUGGCCCUGCCCCCAAGGAAGCCCCUCCCCUGGGGGCACAGGUGGGGAAGGAGGUCAUGAGCUUUCUGUGUGUGACAACUGCUGAUGGGAAUGCUAUUGGCAUGUACAAGGGGUGCCUGUCCGUGUCUUGGGAGAGCAAGGAAGGCUUCCUGGAGGAGUUGCUGCCAAGUUGGCCCAGAAGGAUGAGGAGGAGUUCUUCUGGUGAAGUGGGGAGGGCAGAGGCAGUAUGGUCCCUACAGAGCGUGUGGGGACACUCGUGUUCUUCCAGAGGAUGGAAUGCUGGGCCCGAAGCCCGAAGUAUUGUUAGGGCAGAGACAGGCGGGAGGUGCGUGGAGAAGGGGUCAUGGAGGUCUUGUUGGGCAGAUGGUGGUGGGACGUCCCAGGCAGGGGGAGCAUCUUGGGCAAGAGCCCAGGGUGCGAGGUCAUGCUUAUGGCACAUUGGACCAGCUGGAGGGCAGCCAGCUCAGGAGAGCAGCCGGCCAGGGUGUCUGCCCACGUGUGGGGCAGGGACGGGCUGCAGCGGGGAGGGAUUUGGGAGCUUCUGUCACAGUCCUGCAGGGAGUGGGAGCUGUGCAAGAAGGAAGGGCGGAGCGGCUAUGAUCCAAUGGCUUUGGGAAGGCCAGUCCUGUGAUGGAGUGGGGGAAGACAGACCCCAGGCCAGGGGUCCUGAGUCAAGGCAGUGGCUGAGGAGGCAUUGGGGAAGGUGAUUUGGAGAGGCUUUGGGGGCAGGUCCUGGGGGUCCGGAAGGGCUCUGGGCCAAGAAUUUUCAGACUCCUGGGAGCAUCAGAAUCAACUGGAGGGCUUGUUAAAGCAAAGCUUGCCCCCAGCCUCAGGCAGCUGGGCAGCAGGAAUCUGCAUUUCUAACAGGCUCCCAGGGGAUGCUGACUUGCUGGCCAGGGUCCCACACUUUGAGAAGCCCCGCCUGAGGCUUAUGGGACAGGGCAGGUUCUUGAGCCAUCGAGUUGGGCAAUGCCAUGGGAAGUUGCAGGUGCACAGACGUUGCCUUCCUGGCUGCGGUUGAACCUGGGCUCCGUUUGUCCCCUUGGAGCUCCAAGCAGCUGGGCCGGCUUCGACCCUGAGCUCUCCUGUCUGAUUUCCUUUCCAGGUGGCACGUCUCUGAGCUUCCUGGUGUUGGUGACAGGCUGCACAUCUGUGGGCAGAAUUCCAGAUGCUGAAAUCUACAAAAUCACCGCCACCGACUUUUACCCUCUUCAGGAAGACGCCAAGGAGGAGGAACGCCUCAUAGCUUUGAAGAAAAUCCUCAGCUCGGGGGUGUUCUAUUUCUCAUGGCCAAACGAUGGGUCUCGCUUUGACCUGACUGUCCGCACGCAGAAGCAAGGGGAUGACAGCUCUGAAUGGGGGAACUCCUUCUUCUGGUGAGGCCCUGGGUCCUCUGCAGAGGGUGGGCCCUGGUUGGCACCUGAGGCCUUGACCUCCACUUGCACCACCCCCGGGUUAUGGGGCACCUCUGGAGAGUUAGGACCCAGGCCUGCUCUCAGCACAAUGAGAGGAAAACUAACCCUGAACUCCCCGCCACCCCCCACCCCUGGCUCCUGGAAUGUAUUCAGUGUAGAUUUGGAAAAGAAACCUGGGCCAGGCAUGGUGGCUCAUGCCUGUAAUCCCAGCAUUUUGGGAGGCUGAGGCAGGUGGAUCACUUAAGGUGAGGAGUUUGAGACAAGCCUGGCCAACAUGGCGAAACCCCAUCUCUACUAAAAAUACAAAAAAAA